AGAGUUUGAUCCUGGCUCAGGAUGAACGCUGGCGGCGUGCCUAAUACAUGCAAGUCGAACGAGGAGCCUCACAUCUUCGGAUGAGGGGAUUUCCUAGUGGCGGACGGGUGCGUAACACGUGGGUGACCUGCCCCGAAGUGGGGAAUAACUCCGCGAAAGCGGAGCUAAUACCGCAUGUUGUCGCGCGAGUUAGAGGUCGCGCGUCUAAAGAUUUCGGUCGCUUCGGGAGGGGCCCGCGGCCCAUCAGCUAGUUGGUGGGGUAAUGGCUCACCAAGGCUAUGACGGGUAGGGGACCUGAGAGGGUGAUCCCCCACACUGGAACUGAGACACGGUCCAGACACCUACGGGUGGCAGCAGUAGGGAAUAUUGCACAAUGGGCGCAAGCCUGAUGCAGCAACGCCGCGUGCGCGAUGAAGGCCUUCGGGUUGUAAAGCGCUUUUCGGAGGGAUGAAUCAAGACAGUACCUCCAGAACAAGGAUCGGCUAACUACGUGCCAGCAGCCGCGGUAAAACGUAGGAUCCAAGCGUUAUCCGGAAUUACUGGGCGUAAAGGGCGUGUAGGCGGCUUGGCAAGUCGGUCAUGAAAGCUCCCGGCUCAACUGGGAGAGGUUGUCCGAUACUGCCAGGCUAGAGGGCAAGAGAGGGAGGUGGAAUUCCCGGUGUAGUGGUGAAAUGCGUAGAUAUCGGGAGGAACACCAGUGGCGAAGGCGGCCUCCUGGCUUGCGCCUGACGCUGAGACGCGAAAGCGUGGGGAGCGAACGGGAUUAGAAACCCCGGUAGUCCACGCUGUAAACGAUGUCAACUAGGUGUCGGUGGCGUAGAACCCGUCGGUAUCGAAGCUAACGCGUUAAGUUGACCGCCUGGGGACUACGAUCGCAAGAUUAAAACUCAAAGGAAUUGACGGGGACCCGCACAAGCAGCGGAGCGUGUGGUUUAAUUCGAGGCUACGCGAAGAACCUUACCAGGGAUUGACAUGCACGUAGUAGGGAAGCGAAAGCAGACCGACCCUUCGGGGAGCGUGCACAGGUGAUGCAUGGCUGUCGUCAGCUCGUGCCGUGAGGUGUCAGGUUAAGUCCUGUAACGAGCGCAACCCCU
rnacentral:rRNA from 1 species